rnacentral:rRNA from 1 species
UACGUAGGUGGCGAGCGUUGUCCGGAUUUACUGGGCGUAAAGAGCGCGCAGGCGGUCGUACAAGUCGCGUGUGAAAGCCCCCGGCUCAACUGGGGAGGGUCACGCGAUACUGUUCGACUCGAAGGCAGGAGAGGGAAGUGGAAUUCCCGGUGUAGUGGUGAAAUGCGUAGAUAUCGGGAGGAACACCAGUGGCGAAGGCGACUUCCUGGCCUGUUCUGACGCUGAGGCGCGAAAGCUAGGGUAGCAAACGGG